AUUUAGAAUGCUGCACAGAAAUUGCUUCACAGGGGAAACCGUCUCAGCGCUGUGCUAGCUCAGAACCCACGCACCUUAAAGGGAAGGAUCUACUCAUUUGAAGAUUUUGCACUUCCUUGAUUUAGAAAUCAUGAGCAGGGACAUUAACAGGAAAACAAUAGUAGAGCAUCCAAAAGAUUCAAACAGCAGGAAGAUAACUUUGCCAAAAAAUAGAUCUUGCCCAAAUAUAUGUGCAGCAACAAAUCUGGAAUUAAAUCCAAAAGGUAAAAUUCUUUCUGUACUGAAAAAGGAAGCAUUA
rnacentral:lncRNA from 1 species